CCUAGCUACCUUCCAAUUUAGCCUAGCAAAGAAGGCACAGUAAGACAGGUUAUUAGCACUUUAAUCAGCUGACAGUGUGCAUAAAUUAAUUUGAUUCUUGAACCGUUUUUUUCCCAUCUCAAUUUAUUGCUUUGAAAUAUGAAACAGAAGGGAUCAUUUUAUUGAAACGAACACGAGAGAAUAUCAGAAGGAUUGUAUCCAAUUAGGUUGCAGAACUGUAGAAGAAAACGAGGUUUGGCAGCAGGAUGUUUUGUUUUCCCAAAGAAUUGCUUCACAAGUACAGCCAAUAGUACCAUCCUUUACAUGAGGAUAUCAUGAAUACAUAAUUACUUAGCUGACCGUCCAUGCAUAUGUGUUGGAUGGCAUCAACUCCUCUUUUUUUCUUUUUUCUUUUUUUAUCAUCCAUCUUUUUUAAAAAAGGAAAGAUGCUUUUGGAGACCAGUUAAUAAUUAUAUAAUUAACAGAGUAAGACAAGAAAUAAUAUUUGAAUAAGUAUCACAGUUAAAAGGUAAGGAAAGAGAGGAGGUUUAUUUCCUAUAUUUCAAUUAUUUGUAUCUUAAUAAAACUCAAGGGAUAAAAAAAUCAAUUGAGUCAUGCCGAAAAUGAAUUAAUAUACACAGAUUUGAUGAUACUAAUUGAUUUAAAAAACUGCUGAUCAAGACGUAAUUAAGUUUACUAUUUAAUCGAUCAUCUUGAUUGUAGGGAAUUGGUAGCUGAGUAUGGCAGUGAAGUGUUUAAACUUUGUGGAAAGUUGUUGAAGGUGUUCUCCAUGAACCUUGGCCUGGAAGAGGACUCCCUCCUAAACGCUUUUGGUGGAGAAGAAAACGUUGGGGCAGGCUUGAGGGUGAAUUACUACCCCAAGUGUCCCCAGCCAGACCUUACACUAGGUCUCUCCCCACACUCUGACCCCGGUGUAAUGACCCUUCUCCUGCCUGAUGAAAAUGUGGCUGGCCUACAGGUCCGCAGGAAGGGCAGCUGGCUCACUGUAAAGCCGAUCCCAAAUGCCUUCAUUAUCAACGUAGGGGAUCAACUCCAGGUAUAUUUAUCUUGAAGACUACUUCCAUUCAACUUUUACAGUCAUAUUAUCAUGGGUACUGAUGGCAAAUUACUCAUCUAAUUAAUGCCUCUAUAUGUAGGUACUGAGCAACGGCAUCUAUCAGAGUGUGGAGCACAGGGUUAUUGUGAAUUCUAAUAGGGAUAGAGUCUCUCUCGCCCUUUUCUAUAACCCGAAGAACGACUCGAUCAUUGAACCAUCCAAGGAGUUUGUGUCCGAUGACCGGCCAGCUCUCUACCCGCCGGUGAGAUUUGAUGAAUACAGACUUUACGUUAGGACAAAGGGUCUCUGCGGCAAGGAACAGGUCGAAUCCUUAACAAUAUCCUAGGCCAUGCAGUGAAUGUUGAAUCGAUGACAGCGUCCCUCCUUGGUCCCGUCAUCAUCUAAAAUAAAUGUCUAAUAAUAAUAAGCAUGAGCUCCGGGGAACAAAGAGCGGGGCAAAUUUGAAUCACGUGGUACAGCAAUUUGCAGCUUGCUUUUGUUUUCAAGUCACUAUUGCCUCGUCUGUUUAGGAUGAAAUGUCAAUCAAAUAUAAUGGAAUUCCUUUUCAUUGCUGUAUAAGAAGGUGGAAUUAAGUUAUUGUGUAUUUGCUCGUACCAAAUCGUUAAGCAACAACCAAUUAUUUGAAUGUUGAUGGAACUCUUCUUUGACAAGAACGUGAAUUAGUUGGAACACACUUGUUUUUUAGAAAACAGAACCCAACCAUAAGAUUUUGUGCAUAUCUUGCUCUGCUUUUUGAAGAGGAGCUUUCACCUUCAUUGACUAGCUAUAUUUUAAAUUGUCCUGUUCAAAAAAGUAAAUCACAUAUUUCCGUUCACUUUCCAUGACUUCUCUUUGGCUGUGUUUCUGUCACGUGGGUGCUACUGUUUCCACGUUUCUUCACUAAUACUACAGUAUUUACUUGAAUGCUAUGAGAUGGACACCAAGUUUCCAUCGUGAUAUCUUCAGGUAGUGAUGUCAUCCAAAAUGUAAAGAUUGUUGCAUCUCUAUUGCUGUAAUUCCAAGCCAUGUGACAAUGCACCAUACAAUAAGCAAGCUCCCACUGCCUGGUUUACCGACGGAAUAUUAUAUCAAUAUUUAUAUACUUAAUAUAUUGGCAUAACUUUUAACGACAGGCUCUAAAACGCAAAUACUUUAUUAGAAACCUUAUCGUUGGUGAUUUAUAACUUGUUUGUGAGUUCGUCGAUAAUGAAAUUAUCAGUGAAUUUACAGACAGCAAAAGCACGUUAAACAAAAAAAUACCUACUUUAAUUCAUCAGUAUUUCCACCGAUGAUUAUUACAUAUCAUUGAUAAAAACCCCGUAUGUAAUUCCAUCGAUGAUUUUUUUAAUAUUACCGAUGAAAUGAAAUCGUUGAUGAUUAGUGGUAUAUUGACAUUUGUAGUAAUUCUUUUCCAACUCUUUGAAAUAUAUCAAUAAAGUUAAUUCAUUGGUAAGACUAUCAGUAAUGGUUUAAAAAUAUUUUUUUAAAAAAAUCUAUUAAACAAAAGUAGAAAAUAAUUAAAAGAAAUUAAUUUAAUAUAAAAGUAAAAUAUUUAUUAUAAAUUUAAAAAUUUAUAAGUUUAAAUACUAUUAAUCUAGAAUAAAGGGGCUGAAGAAGGAGGAGAGGACUAGUCUUUGUCGGGAUCGUAGGGCCAAUAAGAGGAAGAACAUGUACCAUCUAUAUGUGAUUUCACUCCAUGUACAAUCGGUGGAGUCUGGUCGUCUCAACAGUAAAAUAGGUCAUUCGAGCUUUAACUUGUUGGUUUAAAAUCAACUCAAACUCUGAAGCUUGAGUACUCAUAAUUGAUUGCGAGCAUCCGAUGUUUGAAACACUUUGGGUCAUGUACAAGUCCUUGGCCAUGGUGUCUAAGAUACCAUACAUCUAAUUUUUAUCGAGUCCAUCGGACGAUCCUGCCUCCAACUAUAAAUCCAUAACAAGUUCUUGAUGGGUCUAAGGAUUGGCCACAUAUCUCUCCUUCAUUCGGUGUUAUAUAUAUAUCCUAAAAUACAGGUUAGAAAAUUCAAAAAAAAUAAUAACUGAAGAAAAGAAAUUGUUGAAGUCCAACAUACCAUAAAGUGAUAAGCUCGAGUAUCCACGAGUUAUUGUACCAUUUUCUAAUGAUCAUUAUUUUGCAUGUGCAUUUCGAUAAAAAAACUUUAUCGGUCUUGGUUUGCAUCCAAAAACCGUAGCCUGCAAGAAAAAUUAUUAUUAGUCAAACAUAUUCAUAUAAAACAACAAAUUAAAAAAAAAUGGAUGUAAUAAAAAGAGAAUCUUACUAUAUGUUUCACAAGAGAAAUGAAUAGAAUGGAUCUGCCAGUUUGUAUGGCAAUGAAACCGUGAAUCUGCCGAUUCCGAUUAUCUAUACCAGAUUAUAGCCAUUGCACAAAAUGCUCGGAUGUCACGUGUUGAAUAUAUUAUAUCCAUACAACCUCUAACAUACACAAAGGUUUGAAAUCCUCCAGACUACCACAUCCUUCCAACCUAAAAGCUUUUUUCGCAUAUUAUUUUGCUUUUAUUUGCAUCUCUUAUCAAAAGUCACAGAACGUAUAUGGUAUAAAUGAAUUUUCUAUUAAUAAAUAAAAAAUAAAAUUUUAACAUUUGGGUUAAAAAAAUUUAUCUUGAUUUCAAUCUUACCUAAUUGCAGCGUGAUUCUCUCAAACCCUAUUGAUAACAACAUUGUUAGCUCUAUCCCACUAAACAUUUUCCUUGCUAUUCAAAUUUGUAGAAGAAUAAUUUCAUUAAUAGUAAUAAACUAACUUAAUUAACAUAAUAAAACAAUGUUUAAGUUAAUACUGACCUUAAAUCUUCUGAAACUUGCAUCAAUCAUAUGGUUCAAUUCAAGAUAUUUGAAAAGUUAACUCCAUUAAAACAAUAGCACUUUCAUCGAUGAUUUUAUCGCCAAUGUUAUGGUUCAAGCAGUCUCAAUAUUUGUAAACCUGAAAUUGCAUUCAUUAAUUAAAAUUAUUUUUUUCAAAAAUUAUUAACUUGUUCUUUAUUUUUUAGUAAUGCAUAAAAGAAAAACAAACUUACAUUGAGUGGUUGGGCUUCCACUAGGCAUGACACUUCCUAGUAAAUGGAUCUCACUCUAAAAGGAACCCCCCAGCGUGGCAGAAUAGCACUCAACGAGCCUGCGUCGAGAGUGGAUGCUUAUGACUCAAGUGCCUAUUCAUAGUUGACAAAAGCGUUGUUACAAGAACUAGCAGCGAUCAUGUCCAUAUGAAGUACUAUUGACUUUCUUCUAAGCAUCUACACAAAUUAAAGGAUUAAGAUACCUUAAAUCAUUCAUAUUUAAAAAAAAAAAUUAGCAGCACCUCCUCUAUACAAGAGACUGCCUAAAUUUUAUUUACCUACAAAACAUCAAUUUAAAUUCGAUUGUCACAAACUAGUUGAAUUUGAAGAAAAUGAAAAAUAUAAAAUAUUAUUACAAUACAUGCCUAAACAUUCUAUUUUGCUAUACCAAGUUAAGCAAUUGAUGGGAAUUUCGGUCAUUUAAAGAAUUGCUGGUGAACAUUCUAUUUUGGUCUUUCUUAGAUUUUUUUAAAAAUUAUUAAUAUAUAUUUAUUACAAAGCAAACCUAAUUAUUGAAUCUUUGCUUUUUAACUAGAAUUUUACUUUAUAAAUAGCAAUGCUUCUUUUCUUUAAUUUUUGAAUAUAUACAAUUAUUAUCAUAAUAAUAUUAUAUUGUAUAUCCCAUAAAAAUCAAUCUAAAUUUAUAACUUUAACUUGUAAUUGAUAAGGACAAGUAACCUAAACUUCAGUAUAGUCAAUUGCAUGCCUAAUAAGUAGUGAGAAGGGCACUUGUUAAUACAAGCACCAUUAUAUGCAAAACCAAUCUUGUUCUAAUAUAUCAUUUAAAUGCAACAAAAUUGUUUUCAUAUGAAAAAAAAACCUCCAACAACAACAUUUCAACAAUUAUUAAGAACAAAAAAAAUAAAUAAAAAACAAAUGUAAUACAAAAAAAUACACAAAAAAAAAAGAAAAAAAAAACUCUUACCCUAAUUUUGUUGUGAGUGAAGUUGAGAAGAGAAAAAAACAACAACAAAAAAUAAGAAGAGAGAAAUGUCAAUUAAGAUAAUGACAUACUUGGCUUGUAUAGAAGAGAAGAAAAAAGAAGACAAGGAAUAGAGGAGGAGAGAAUAAGAGAGAGAAGAGGAAGAAAGAGAGAUGUUUUUGUAGAAGAUAAAAAGAGAAGAAGAAGAAAUACAUCUCUAUUAUAAAAUUAAGGAUUUUGGUCUUUUAAUUUGGAUCUGUUUUACCAAUAAUUUUACCGAAAAAUAAUUAAUAUUAAUAUUUUAAACAUUUUUAUCGGUGUUUCCAUCUAUAAUAUUUAAUUGAAAUUUUCAAUUUAAUCAAAAGAAUUUAGAAACCCCCCCCCCAAAUAUCACUGAUAACUUUUUAGUUUGUUGGUUAUUUUCAUUUGCAAUAAAUAGUAAUUGAUAGUGUCAUUAAAAAGUGAGCAGUUCCAAAGCUCUCAGAAAAAUAUCAACAGACUUAAUCCAUUUAUGAUGUUAUAUGUAAUGAACAUGGUGAAAAGUGUCAUCAAGAAGUGAACAGUUUCAAAACUCUCUGAAGCAUACCAACAAACGUAAUCUGUCAGUGAUGUCGUAUGUAAAGAACACAAUGAAUAGUGUCAUUGAGAAAUGAACAGUUUCAAAACUCUCUAGAAUAUACCAAAAGACUUCAUGCGUUUGUGUAUUUGUUUGUAUUUUACGGUCCAUUAGUAAUUCCAUCUCUAUAAAAUAGUUUGUAUGGCUAGAUUGUAUUUGUAUUCCAUAUUUAUCCAUCAUACAAAUACUUAAAAUCAUAGUAGCACACACAACACAAUAACAUUAAUUAUGUCUAUAAUAAUAAAAUCACAAAAACUAAAUUUUUCCUUGUAAUGUAAUAAUAAAUUCAUGUCAUUAUCAUUAUAUUGAAGUUAAUUUCAUCUAAAAAUAUGGCAUUUAAUUAAUUGCAUUACACAUUUAUAUUGUGCACAUUAAUUAGAAUUGUCCUUUUCUUCUUUUUCAAUUUCUAAAGAAGUGACUGAUUUUCGUGAGUACAUAAGUUUCUCCUUGUGUAUAGUUUUGACACAUCUAAUACCGCAUUCACUAAUAUUUCUUAUAUUAGAUAGUGUAUAAUUAAUAAAACCUUCAAUCUCAUUACAAUAAUUCAUCAUACGCAACCCUUCGGGUGAAUCUCGAUACAUCUAUGAACGGUCAUCCAUUACUUAUAUCAAACCUAUAUAGAAUAUUGAUGAUGACAAUGUGUAUAAAUUAAUUAUGUAAACUAAAUACAUUAGCUAACAUUGCUUUAACUCAAACUUAUUCAAUCUAUUUUAAUAAUACUCUUAAUUCAUUAUCAAUUAUCUCUAUAAAUUCAAAAUUCUAUAUAUUUACUGAAAUCUUCAACUCAACAAUAAAAUUGACAAAAUAUAAAAUAAAUCCAUUAAAUAAGCUAUUAUUUAUUUCAUUACAAAACAUCUAAGUGAAAAUUUUGAAAUAAAUUUCAUCAAUUUACAAAUAAAUAUAGUUUUUUAAAUUCUCAAACAAACCCUAAUAUGUACAAAUUAAACAUUCAUACACCAAAUUUAUAUUGAAAAAAAGCUAUAAAACAAGUAAACACCCAAACAAAAUAUAUAUACUACAAAAAUAUACAAUAAAAAUUAACAUUUUAAAAUUGAAUUCAAGUAAAACAUAGGUAGCUUUUCUUACUUGAUGUGGGGAAUCAUCAAUAAAAUUUGAAUUAGAAUAUGGAUGUUAACAAACUGGGUGUUGGGUUGGCCGGAUUUAUGAUGAAAGAUUGAUUUGUGCUAAAAUAAGAGAUGUGUUGUUUGUUGCAGAGCUGGGAUGAAGAAGAAGAAGAAAUGAAAGGGGAAAGAGGGUCGUGUCAGAUUUCACCGACGAGUUAAUUCUGUCAAUCAUUUUAUCUAUAUAAAUAACAUUUCAUUAUAUAUUUUAACUUUUUUAAAACUUUUUUCCACUAUAAUUCCAAAUAGCAUGUCUGGGUUGACUAACUACCAUGUCCCAUUGUUGCCUUAUUUGAGACGUAACAAAAUGAAUAGGCAUAAAUGAAGGCACGUUUAUUUGAAGUUUGAAGGAAAAAUCUUCAUUCUCAAACUUGUCACAUUAACUAUUAUUAUUAUUAUUAUUAUUAUUAACUUGUCACAUUAAUUAUUCAUUUAACAAGUGGUGGGAAGGCCGAGAACUUCUCUGUUUUUUAUCUCUCUUUUUAUUAGUUUAUAUAUUUGUCAACUAGAAAUCUUAUCUUAAUAUCCAAUAAUCCAACCAAUAUAUUGAUUAAUAUUGACUAGCAACAUGGUUGACCAAGUCUAGAAUAGACAACCUAAAUUCAUUCAAGCUAAUUAAUCCUGGAUUAUCUAGGUUGUAGAACCUAAUUAACACGGGGCGAGUUAAAAUUAACUGAGUUGGGGUAGUUCAUAUUAGUCUAGCCCAAAUUGUAAAUAGCAGCCAAAUAGGAUUAUCGGAUUAGGCUUCCACGCUCUUUCCAUUGUGAUGGUUCUCUUUCACUUUUUAGUAUCAUGACCCCCAACAUGUUAUGAAGCAUGAAACCUUAAAAGAAUCAAUGUUUAUUUGUGUAAUAUAAGAUAAAUAAAAGGAGAAGACAAAACAAAAUAAUUAAAAAAUAUAUUUUUGAACUUGUUUAAAAUUUUUAUUUUACUUUUUAUAUGCAUAGAUAUGAUUUUCUUUUUUAUCUUGUUUAAAAUCGAUUAAUUAUACAAGUUUUGAUAAUUAUUUAUCGAGUAGUAUAAAGUUUCUCAUCUUUUAUCUAGUGAUAAAAUCCAAACUGAAUAUUUAUAGUUAAUUAACGUAUCAUAUUUCACUAAUACAAUAUGCUAUAUUAUUAUUAUUAUUACAGUUGUCAAAUUUAACCUAAAGUAUCGAGUUAAUAGUCCGCUCACAAGUUAUUGGGCACUAGAUUGCCCAAGGUAUAAUAAAAAGUCAAAAGGUCAAACUUUUUUGUUUUUUGAGUAAUUGGGUUUACAUUGAGUCAUGAUCGGGUUACUUGAAUAAAUCAAGUUUUGAUCGAGUGUGUCAAACUUUUUAGGUGAUUGAACUAUAUACUUGACUUGAUUUUGGCCUUGAAUUACUAGGUUUUUAAAUUAAAUCAUCAAGCUGGCUACAUUUAAUGACCAUGAAUAUUUCCAAGAUUAGUUUCCUUUUAUUAUAAUAAAAGCUAAAUGAUAUAGAAAAAUCACAUCGUGUAGUGCGUGUAAAUAAAUAAUAAUUGAAUUGUGUCAAUGAUCAAUUAUUUAUAUUUUUUUUAAUUUUUUCUAACAACUGAAAUAUAUAAUUAUUUUAUUUGUUUGUUGUUUGUCACAUCAAGUAUAUUUGCCAAACUAUGUCAGGUUCAAGUUACUUGAACUUAAUAAUUAUGUUUAGGUUUAACAUGGUUGUCAAACCCAAAUAUCUUGGGUUUGGCAUUAAAAAAAAAAGGUACAUAAGUCUGACAUGAUUGUUAUAUUUCAAGUGUUUAAAAUAUUUUUUAUACUUUUAAUAUUUUUUUAUAUUUUAAAAAAAAUUUAAUAUUAAUCCACUGUGGAGAGCAUGAGCCAAUCUACUAGUAUUCUUGACAACAUGACUUAUUACUCAUGAUAAUUGCCUAAUACAUCUAAUUCAUUUGGAAUUAUUUUUUUAAUAAUUUCUAAACUUUUUUUUUCUUUAAAUUAGACCAUUUUAUUAUAUUGGAUCGGAUAACAUAAUCGGAUUAUUGGAUCAAAUGAAUUAAGAAAACACUAAGUCGGUUUUUCAAGCAUUUGAAAUUGGUUCUAUUUGAGGUUCUUAUAAUAUAUAGUGGUUUAGUUCGAUUAAUUUCUGUUUGAAAUUUAAAAUCUAUAUAAAAAAAAUAAAAAAUAAAAAAAAUAUAGUUUUACUCUAAAAAAAAUAUGGCAAGAACACAAGAGUACUAAACAAAUGUAUUCGCUCAACAAACCAAGAAAAAAAACAGGGCAAAAGAUAGAUCGCCUUUCAUAUAUAAUCAAACAGGCAUCCACUAAAUGCUAUAUAUGUGGAUGUUCUUAUUUCUACACAGCUAUAUAUCAUCACCAGAAAUGUUUUGGUUGCCUUCAUGAUCUUCAAAGUAAGAUAUCCACCGAAGUUUUCUGAAUAACCGUGAAAUCAUCCGAUGGUUAAUGGUGCUUCCAUUCCUUUUAUUUCAUGCAAUGUGUUAUUUAACUUUAGAAAAAACUGGGCACAAGAGGUGAUGGACAGGUGGCCAAAAUGUUCCAUGGGAAGUUGGCAUCGUGAGAUGGAUAUGAAAAUUUUGCAUCUCUUUGAAGAACCAUGUUUUGAUUGUAAGGAUCAGGAUUGAGAGGUUGGAGUUGAUACCGCGAAGGUAAAGCAUGGUUUUCUGUCCUCAAUCUCUUAAGAGCUUGAAGGUAUUCUUCAGGCUGUAUUUCAGCUUUCUCACCCUCCGAAUCAGUUUCAAAUUCUUUAGCAUUUGAUUCUGAUUCAUCACAGAGAGACGGCUGUGAUACUGGAGAGAAAGACUUGCUAUGUUUUGGGAUUGGAUUAAUGGACGCACUUCGGUUUCUGUUUUCCUCCACGAUUCUCUCAAGGAAUCUCCCUUGGGCUUCAAUCUUAAUCUUCAAGCUCUUUUGAACCUUCGGAGUUGCACAAACAAAAAAGAAAUCAACAAACAUACGCACUGUGUUUAUUUACAAUUAGGAAAGCAAAACAAAGCUUUAUUUUUCACUCUUGAGCAAAUAAAUCUGCAUGAAGAAAAAUAUGUUGCUACCUCAAGUUGAUCGCUCAGUCGCUUUUGAACCUCCAUUUGCAUCAGUAAUGCUUCAUUGAGCUGAGCUCCACUGCAAGAAUUUUGCAACCAAUACUUAGAUUAGAACACAAGUUCAUGAGCAGGGUGAAGGAGAUGGAACUACUUAAUUAAUUAGUGAUUAACUCACGAUUUCGCACUGAAAUUUGGCAACAUUUCUGAAAUAUUUCUCCUUUCAUACUUCCCUCCUGAAGGAAGAUACCAAAAAAUUAGCAUACACAAAAGCAAUAUUACAAGUACUGCAAAUUUAUGGUACUCCAGACUUACUUUUGGUUUCUGGGAUAAACUUUGAUAUUCUGUAUUUCUGAAAAAAAGAAGAAGAGAGAGAGAUCAGAGAAUAUUAAAGACUGAUUAACAGAAGCCCUGGAUGUUAUUAAUCACACUUUUGUACUAUCUCAUGGACAAAUAUUGCAGUUUGAAAGGAAAAAAACGAAGAAAUAUAUAAUAUACAAAAGAAAGAAAACUCUAUAGUGUGUGUGUGUGUGUGUGUAUUGCAGAAAUAGAGCUAUAUCAACAUAUACUAGGUCAAAGUAUCAAUGAUCAUGAGUGUAUUUUAGUUAGUAUUUAGUAUUUCAAUUGUCAGGAUAUAAUACAAGAGGGCAGCUAUGCAUCUUGCAGUCGAAAUCUGAAUUGACGACAGUGAGAAUCCAGGUUGGAGACAUAAAAUCUUAAUGGGUUGUAUAGUUCCAUGCAGGAGUGCAAGCUAGCUAGAGGAAGAAAUAGAUAAAUACCUGCAAAUGGCUCUUGACAUGGUAGAUAGUCAACCCAGAGAUGCCCAUAGCCCUCAAGAUACCCUUUGGUGUUGCUCCUGCGAAUCGUUACAAAUAUAAACAUGAGCGAUCACAUAAAUAACAAGACAUCUUACAAACCUCAAUAAACACGAGAAACAUCACUGGAAUUGCAGUGUAUUGAUAAGAAAUUAAUUUGGUCAAGCUUUAUUGGCAGGGUGAGCUUCUGUGUUGUUUUGAUCACUGAAAAUCUUUCAAAAGAAAAGGUUCACAGUAUUAAUUAGUGGCGGAUUAAAUAUCAUUAAAUGAAUGUACACUGAUUAACCAAGAACGUACUGUCAGGACCACCAAGUUGAUUAACAGCCUCCUCGAACCGAUCGUGCAGUUCUUGCGUCCAGCGCAAUCUUUCUUUGUUGGAUACAUCGGAGCGACUUGAACCCAUUGUUGGAAUAAUUAAGGUGAUUACACACUGUCAAUGCCACCGUACAAGUAAUGAUGCAUGGACUAGUCUUCUCCCUUAUAAGGAGGGUUAUUAAAACAAGAGAGCAUGAAAAGAACAGUUAUGUAGACAGGGAGAAGAUGAAUGGGUCGAUGAGAACUAAGACAUAAUUUGAUUAAAGAAGAUGUCAAAUGAUGUCUACUUGUCGAGGAUAAACCAAGCUUUUAUGAGUAGGAGUCUGGAUAACUCCAAAUUCAAAAGGGUUUUUCAACUUUUCUGUCAUCUAUGGUAAGGAAAUUCAAGGGUAUUGCUCAAAGUCCAAAAACUGUACAGCUCAUGAUAAGCAUAUGUUCUGUCUGUCCCUGUUGUUUUUUUCUGCACUAUCCGACCUCAGUCAACCCUGAUUAUCACCUGGGAGAAAAACAGGGCAUUCUGUAGCGAAGGCCCAGUCUAAUGGACUUUCUAGUCUAGUCUUGCCAAGGCAAUCAAGAUCCUCUGGUGUCUUGGACUGGCUACGCUUUUAGGUUUAGAUUGGACCUAGCUUCGUGACUAUUUGGGACAUUUCGGAUCCUAGCUAGCGUGUUAGCGAGCUGGGCCAGGAAAGGAUCCCUUGAAGAUGUUUGGUUGCCACAGCUCAUCAAGGUAUCAUCCACAGCAGCAUUUCUCGAGGCCACGUUUCCAUAACUGGUCUCAGUCAUACAUCAAGCAAAAUGGAUGCCAGUAGCACAAUAUUAUGUUCCACUUUUCCCUGUUAAAAAUCAUUUUCUAUAAUUAUGAUAACUAAUUAAUAAAAGGAAAAUGGAUGCCACUCAUUGGGAUUGCAUAAUAAGUUUAGAUCACCAGGCAGACAAGCAGACUCCUGCAAAGCAAGUCAUCUCUAGUUUAAUAUUAUUCAUGCAUUUAACAUAAAAUAAGAGAUCAGAUUACAUAACCUGCUAUUCAAGCAAAGGGUUCAGUUGGGAAGAAGGCAAACUAAACAGUUGGAGGCAUCUGUUAUAAACAAGUAUUUUAACUUUCACAUUGCAUAAGGAUAAUGUUCACUACUUUGUCUGCCACCGCAACGACGCUGACUAUGGCCGGCUCCUCUUCAUACAAGAUGGACACUUGUAUUGCUUAAUACUCUCAGCCUUAGCAGGAGUUAUCUUCACACACUUUCCAUGGUACCACCUCUCGCAGACAUCACAGCCGAUCCAGAAUUCAUCGGAGUUGUAAUUUCCACCACAGCUCCCACAUAGAGUUUGAGUAUGUUCAUCUUCUUCCUCCUCAAAACUAUCUUCUGUAAGCUUAGGGUUGCUUUUCGUUUGUCCAUCACUUGAUCUCUACAGAGAGUAGGAACCCAGUCAGUGGUUCCAGCAAUAAUAUGCAUUUAAUAGUCCAAACCAGUACAUCCAUGAAAGGUUGAGGACAAGUAGAAAAGUGUAUACAUUUGGAAAUUAGGCUUGCUGUUGCUUACUGAAUAACUGCAUCUAUGCAUCACUAAAGCAGUAUAUCAAUAGAAUACCAAAAUUGACGGCACCAUCAGUCGCUAGGGUGAUGCAUGAUAUAGUUCUACAUCAGAUUAGUAUUUUAGUUGUAACAAUUAACAAGCAGAGAGAAAAAUAAGAAUGAAAAGCUAUUGAUCAAGUUUGAGAUUAUCAGAAAAUAGAGACAGUCUAAAUCAAUUUUUGAUUAAUCACCUUUAUGCUGCCUCGAGAUUUGCUUCCACUAUCUACACUAGGCUUUUCUUUCACAGGCUUCCUUUCUGUUACAACUUCAAAGACAGUAGGCAGAUCAUUGAUCAGGCUGAACAGCCUUUUCCUGUCAAUAAAAAUGUACUUUAGUUUCUAAAGCCAUGCUCAACAUAACAUCACACUGAAAAACUGAACAACACAAUAAAAAUAAACCUGAAAGCAUCCCAAUAUGCAAAUUGAAAAUAAUUAUGUUUCAGGUCUGCAAGACAAACAUUACAUGCCAAAAUAGAUGGUUGAUCUUUUAAAGUUUUUAUAUUAUCUGUGGUGGCCUAUCCAGUCCUGACCAAUUCAAACAGAUCAUAUUUUGCCAAGAAGAAUAAAUAUACUACCACUGCAUGCUGCCAUGUAUUCAAUUGAAAGCAUAUCUUGACAUUACUUUCUGUCAAGGAUUUUUUGAAGUUUCUGGAAUCCUUUAUAACAAGAUUUUAUAAGGUGCUAAAAAAUAAUAAACAAUUUCAUAAAUUGUCCUUUGUAAAGGAAUAACUGUUAAAAAAUGAGGAUAUUAUCAAGAAGAUCCAAUAUAUGUAAUAAAUCUUGUUCAAGCAAACCAAUUGAUAACGCUACCAUGAUUCUAAAUCUCACCAACUGGAAGGCAAUUAAGAAAGAUGAUCGGGUCAUUGAUUGGUGGGACAUGGUGUACCAUCUAUUUUCCCAAGGUUAACUUUCCUAACUUCAUCAACAUUUUAGUCACAGCAAAAUUGGAGAACGAAUAACAAAAGAAAAAUGUACUAGAAUGAGAAUACCACAUGUCCCUGCAAUUGUGCACUAGAUUACCUUUCAUUCCGAUUAAGACGAGCACCAAGAUAGAAAGCCACAGAAAGCAACCAUGAAUCACUAUGCACGGCAACCAGUGAAAGCCAGUCUUUUCUGUUCAUUCCAUCCCUAGCAAAAUUAAUUCCAAGGGCAGGUUCAGGAAGCUCUGGUGGAACUUCCUCUGCUGGCAGGGUUACUUCCCAUGUUUCAUUUGGAUGUCCAUACAGACACAAAUUCUCCUUAUCUAACACCAAAAAAAAAAAAAAAAAAAAAGAGUAAAGCUAAUAUUCCUUGAGAAAUCAGAGGAAAAGCAGAGUAACAGCAAAAUGCAAAUCUUACAAUUCUUGUUUCUUCAUAAAUAAAAACAUUACCAAUUUACAAGUACUAGUUAUUUCAAAUUCUCUUCUUCCAGUUUUUAAUAUCCAUUUUAAUUUCAAUUUUCUGUUUACAGAGUCAACAAAACAUUAAAGUUCCAACAGUGAUGCCCUCAAUUUCCACUUUCAAAGCUUAAAUUUUCAUAAAAUCUACCACAAAUUCUGAAAUAAAACCCACUUAUCCUAAAAAAUACAGCAGCGGAGAUCACAUGCAAAACUUCAAAUCACUCGACCUCAUAGUUUCUCGAGAACCAAACAAUUUCUCUAAAUUUCACCCUAAACUAGAAACAAGAUUCCACAAGGAAAACAAAUCAAUAAUAAUUCAAAUCUACAUUUACACCACUACACAUUACCUGGAUCACAGAGUCCAUAAAAACCAUCCACAUCUGAAAACAAUAAAAGAAAACGUAAAAAAACCCACGAUCAUAUUUAUAAAAAGAUUCAAGAUUUAAAGGAAAGGAAAGGAAAGGAAAAACAGAAAGAACUAAAAAUUAAAUUACCAUAAGUUAAAGCACGGACGACAGCAGCCCUUCUAGCACUGAAAUCUUUGAAGAUCUCCUCUACGGUUCGUGGGCUUGAAGUCAUUUCCAUGGACAAUUAACUACAAAGAUCUAAAAAUAUAUAUAUAUUAUUUAUUUAUUGGAUAAUUUUAAGAAAUUAUAGAGAUUGUUGUACGGUAAGAGCAUGAAAGAGAGACAGGGGAUGGAAGGGAGGAUGAUACAAAGACAACACAUGUAAACGUGAAAAGCGAAACCAAAGGAGAAAAUAGGCAGAGGGAGUUCGUUUGACGCAAUUAAGGUUAUUUUGCUAUUGGCGCGCUCCGUUUUACUGUUUGGCUUCCCACGUGUUGCGUUAACAUUUGUUUUAGUAAAUUAAAUAAACCAAGUUAGUGAGCAUCUGCUAUUGUUAUUGACUUUAUAACUUGAUGGUGGCUGUAACUUCAAAAUUGCAAAUAUCUACCACCUGGUUUAGGCCGGCCAUUUGCGCCUGAGCAGUUGAGCGAUGGAGUUUCAAAUUUUCCACUUCCUACACUGGUUCUUGCAUGAUUCCAUCAGUUAUGUUCUUCAAAAUAACUACUCCAACUUCUUCAAUUUCUUUUUAAAAAAUUUAGAUCUUAAUCCUUCAUUUUCUAAUCAUCAAUGAAAUUUCAAGUUAUUCGAUGAUAAAACUCUAUCGGGCAGGUUUAAAAACUACGCUAUUAACUAAAAUUACCACCACUUGAAAACAACACUAAAGACCAUGAGUAAAAACAUUAUUCACCGUAUUUUUAUAAUUUUACUUUUCCAAUUAAAAAGCUUAAAACAGGCUGAGGGCAUUAAAAUCUUUUCAUAAAGUCUAUUAAUUAUUAUUAAAUUAAUCAGAAAUAAAAAAAAAAUUCAUUUUAAAAGAACAAUCAAAUAACAAAAAUACCAUUUAAAGUAAAAAAUUUAAUUAGUCUUAAAGGGCAUUUUUAUUUUUCAUAAUUUUGCUAUUAUCAGAUUAGUUGAGAUGUAAUUUGAUAUUUUACUAAAUAUAAAAAUAAAAUACAGUUAAACGAUCAAAAUAUCUUUUAAAUAAAAAAUUUAUAAUUAGUGUUAAAGGAGCUUUUUCAUCAUUUUGCAAUGUUUUUUUUUAUUAUUAUAAUAUCGUAUGAGAGGGCAAUUGAUAUUUAACUAAAUAUAUAUAUGAAAAAAUAAUUUAUAUAUCCAAUUCAUGUGACAGCGUGUAAAAGUUAUUUGUGUUCUUUGAACGGUGCAUAAAGUGUCUCUUACGAUUAAAUUUUUAUUUUGUUGUCUCUUUGGAAGUGACAUAAUAUCCUUUUUAAAUAAUCCAGAUCAAAAAAUAGAAUUAGAAAUUUUAAAUCAUCCGAAUUAAAUUGAAAUCAAAUUCGAAACCGGGGACUAAUAUGUAGUUAACAAAAUAAUGAGCUAAACCUUUUCUUUUCUUCUUUUUUUCUUUUUUUUUUUUCAAAUUUGAAAGUUAAAAACUUGUUCUUGAAAAGGCCCCGAGUCAAUUCAAUUUAUCCGAAGACUCUCCUCUCCGCCUUAACCAAACUUCUAGUCCAGGCAACGAAAGCUGAAAAGUCGUCUCCAGCCCACCAUGACCAUACUCCACCCCCACUGACGCGGCCGACACCACCAUCCCUCCAUUACCCAACCGACACAAACUAUCUUCCAAACGACACGCCCAUAAAUUAGAAAGACAACAUAGUCUCGGCCAGUGUCUUUAAAUUAAUUUUUUUUCUGUCUAACUUGUUAAGACAAAAUCAGAACGAGAAAAUUGUGGGUUGGCAAUGAUGGAGGAAAUAGGAGGAGGAGGGAAACAAGGAGGAGAAGUGUGUGUGUCUAGAUCAGUGAACGAAGUAUGGAAAGGGAUGAUGAAUGGGUUAGGGUUUGUAAUGAAGUUGUUUUUACAGAUAUUAAGAGGGACUCCUUCUAUGGCUCAAUUUUUACUUUCUUAUAUUGGUUUCACAUUUCCUCUUCUUUCUUCUUCUACUCCUUCUUUUAAGCCAUUGCCUGUUGUUGAGAUUCCCUUGCAAGAAACCACGUCGAACAAGAUCACAGACAAAGCCCAUGAUAGCAGUUGUCUUCCUGGUUAUGUCUGUGAUUUUGGUGCUUCUGAUGAUUGCCUCAUUGAGAAACUCACUGUACGUGCUCUCUUUUACUGUUUCCAUUAUUAUUUUUUUUGUGGGUUUUGUUUAACUUUUUAUUUUUUAAUUUUUUUUUCGGGUGUUUUUAGUGGUUAUCGGCACUAUUUUUCUGUGUUUUGAAUGUUGCUUGCUUAGGUUUUUUAUUAUACAUUUUUUUCAUUUAGGUUAGUUUGGUUUUAGUAGACAGGAGAAAAUGAAUGACAUUUUGGGGAAAUGUAGUAAUAAAUGAUGAAUGACAAAUUCAUGCUGUUAGAUACGUAACUGUUAUGGAUUGAAAUUGGGAGUUUUUGUGUUGCAUGAAGUGAUAGUGGUUGUUUUAGUUUAAGUCUUGUUGUGGGAGAAAGGAAAUCUGCCACUGGCCUAAAUUAUGAUAGUUUAAAUUUUUUAAAUAAAAAGUUGUAUAAAUGCAGUUUAUUCUGCAAAUGUAGGUGGUGCUUGACUUGGAUGAAACUCUUAUUUGUGCAUAUGAGGCUUCUAGCUUGCCAGCCAUUAUUCGCACCCAAGCUGUAGAAGCAGGGGUGAAGUGUUUCGAGUUGGAAUGUUUCUCUUCAGAGAAGGUCUCUCUCCCCCUCUCCCUCUCCCUAUAUAUAUAUAUAUAUAUAUAUAUAUAUAUAUAUAUAUAACCUGAUACUUUGAAUUUUGUCAGUAUCCUAGCUACAUAAUAACAUGAUCUUACUGGAUUGAAGGAUGUUGAAGGAAAACCAAGGAUUAAUUAUGUGACAGUGUUUGAAAGACCUGGUUUGAAAGAGUUCUUGAAACAGAUUGGUGAAUUUGCUGAUCUGAUUUUGUUUACUGCUGGUCUUGAAGGUAGAUGUUGUUCUGUUAGUUUUAUUGAUCUUCCAGUUAUUAUUUUCAUUUUUCCUCUUAUUUAUUGUGUUUGGAUUUCAUACAGGUUAUGCCAGGCCGCUCUUUGACAGGAUAGAUGUGGAGAACCAAUUUAGUCAACGUCUUUAUCGACCCUCAACUGUUAGCACGUAAGUGCCCUAGUUUAUUGCCAAUGCUCUUUGUUUAUAGAAUAUCCUGUCUGAGGUAAAAAUGCUGUAACAGAUGGGUGUUUGUAACCAGUUUGUGCUGUUACUUUGUUGGUUUAUUGAGACACUCAUUGAACCUUGGGCUACACAAUACGGGGUGUGGCAUCAACCUUUUGAUAUUGUUAGCAAACUUUCUUUAUUAGGAUCAAGUGGCAGAGCAGAGUGUUCUUAACGGUUAGGGUUAGAUUGCGAGGUCAGUCCUUGUAGCAUCACAUAGGUUCCAUGUUCAAACUCAGUGAAGUGAAAUUUAACUUAGAAUGAAUGGGUUUGGUUAUAGCCAGUUUGUCCUUUUUCCUCUUUGGUUUAUUGAGAACCUCAUUGAACCUUGGGCUGCACAUGGGGUAUGGCGUCAAGCAACCAUACUAAACAAUCAUUCCCUUCUGGAGUGUAAGUGGGAUUUGAUCCCAAAGUUAGGCUAUUAGUAUACUAUUGGUAUGGCAUCAAGUGACUAUACUAAUUUUAGCUAGCUUGUCCACAAUAUUAUUCGUGUUACUGAGGCAAUAUAUAAUUGAUAUUUUGGUAUUUUAACUUGUUUGAUUGAGUAAGAACUGGCAUGAGUAUAUAUCAAGGAGUAGUAAGGCUUGAUAGCUAGGUCAGAAAUGCCUUCGGAAUGUUAUGUGAGUGCUACCUCUCAUCUCAGCUGGCAUAAUUGUUCACCUUUUUCUUUUUGAAUAAUUUCAUGUGUAAUGGCUUAUAGGGUCUAUGUUGCCAGUGAGAAGAUUUAAUUAGAGCAUUCAUUUUAGAAAUAGUACUGGAAAAGCUAAUUCUAGUUCACAUAUCAUUGUUUACCACUUGCAUGACUCCUUCCAGACUUGGAAGCCAUGUGGAAAAUUGUUGCUUAUCUGGAAAACUGGAAUAAACCACAAGUUGUCAUUUUAUUGGAUUCUGAAAUGAAUAUAGAUUGAGGACCUUGCUUGCAAAUGCUGACAAUCUUCAACAUUGUGUAAAUCACAGGGAAUAUAGAGAACAUGUGAAGGAUCUGUCUUGUUUAUCAAAAGAUCUCUCACGAGUUGUGAUUGUUGACAACAACCCAUUUAGUUUCUUGCUACAACCAUUGAAUGGAAUACCAUGUGUUCCAUUCUCUGCUAGAUUGCCAUAUGAUGAGCAGGUAGGAAUUCUCAGUGCAUUAAGGAAUUUAACUUUUUUUAAUGCCAAAGAAUCUUAUAUACUUCAUUUCUGUUUGUUUCUGUCAUUUGGCUUGUGCAGCUUUUGGACGUCCUCCUUCCACUCCUCAAAAACCUAUCCCUACAAAAGGAUGUUAGGCCUGUUCUUUACGAGAGGUUCCACAUGCCUGAAUGGUUUCAAAUGCAUGGCAUUCCUGCUUCUGCUUUGACAGUGUGAGAAUGAAAAAGCUGGUGCACCUGGGCAAACACAUCUCCGUGGUAGCGUUUUGCAGUGAUAAACUGUCAUUCCAUGUAUAAUAUUGUUGUCAUGAACAGGUGCUGGUGAAGGGAAUUAUGUUCUUUUGAGGAACCUGCAAUGGUGCAUUUCUGAAAAUAAGUUAUGAAGCAGGUUUUCCAUGAUUGAGCAAACUCGGAUUCUUUUGUAAUUAGGCAUAGUCAGUAGUGUUAAUGAUUUUGAAGGUUUUGGAAAUUGCUUUUUGUUACGGAUUAGUUGACUCUUCCUUUGUAUAAACGUUGUGGAAUGAUUAUUUAUGAUUCUUUCCUCUGUUUUUUCCGCUACUUAAUACUCAUUAUUUAUGAUUGGUUAACUUUAAGUAAAACAAUUUUCAAUUUUCUAGGAAACAUGGUUGAAACCAGGUUCCCAAGCAGUCACUGUCCUUAAUACACGUUUGCUAGUUGGCUUCUUUUUUUUUUUUUUUUUGAAAGCUUGCUAGCUGGACUAUAUAUAGAAUCACAAGAAAACAGUGAGGUUAUAAAUCGAAGCAAAUAUUAUGUGAUGUGAGUAGGCAUGAGAUUCUCAUAAUACCUCAAAUGUAACAGCAAUGAACGAAGCAUGCACUUCACCAUCUUGUUCCCUCAAGCAUGGAUACUGUAUUUAUAAACCUAGCUAUUUGUACAGCAAGUAGCUAAGCAUAAAGAGAAAUAGAAUAUAAUUCUAUUAUGGCUACAAUAGCGAGCACGAUUGUUGGAGCGAAGGUAACACUUGCUUUUGAAUUGUUUCCUCUGUGCACUAUAGGUGAGGUGAAGCAGAAGAUUACUGAGCUAACGAAUUUGAGUAGGAACAGGCUAAGUCUUAGGGGUGGCCAUAAUCUUGAAGAAUUGGAGGAUGAUCGCACACUCGAAGAAUGUCUAGACAGAGGAGAGGCAACCAUUCAUCUUGAUGUUAGCCCCUUACCUGGAAAUCCAGAGUUCGACAUUGCUGUUGGGCUUCCGAAUAAUGAUUGGAAGGCAAUGAAAGUGAGAGAGACAACCACAGUGGCCGAAUUGAAGGACAAAAUCAUGGAGCGCUGGGGCAUUCCAACCUGUAGAAUGACCCUGACUCGCCUUGACACAACAAUGGAGGAAGAUUCUUCCUCCUUAAUUGAUUACUAUAUUUCAUUGAUGGGAGUCAUCAGAGUUGCAGAACAUGAAACCAAGGAAGUUGUAGAAAGCGAGGAGGGAGGUGAGACCUAGAAUAUUGGCAACUCUUUAGACAUAAUAGCUUAAAUAAACCAUUUUCUCAAUUGAAUUUCGGAAAGAUUCGAGCUUGACGACCAGUUUCCAUAACAUGCAGGCAACAUAAUAGCAAUUCUAGCCCUUCAAUAAUUUCUAUAUUAUUAAUUAUAAUAUGCCGACUCCAUAGGCAAUAAUUGGGUUCUCACCUAGCUUAAUCAAUUUUUUUGUCAGAGUAAAAGAUAAUUCUCGUUGCAAUUCUCUCCUCCAUCUGCAAACUGCUCUCCAAGCUACUCGUAACUCGAUAACUCAUCUGUAUCAUGUAUGGUUGAGUGUGUUUAUAUAUAUGAUAUCAUGAUGUGAAACAAGAUGCCUUCUUUGUUUGACACUUGGGAUAUUAGGUAGGGAGUUUGAGAUUUUGAUAGUUGGAUGGACAUGACAUUGAUAAAUUAUUGGACUUUUUGAACAAUUUUGCUAUAUGUUUUUUUAAUAAUAUGAU
rnacentral:lncRNA from 1 species